rnacentral:lncRNA from 10 species
UUCAGGGUUGCAAAGUGAUUUAGUGACAGAAUAAGGACUGGAAUGCAGGCCUCCUACAGUACAUGCAGUACAUGCUGUGUGUGCAUGUGUGUGGGUGUGCACCACAUGGCUCUGUGGGCCUUUGCAGGGUGGGCUACAGCAGUCACAGGACCUUUUUUCGAGAGAUGGGGUUUCAUCAUGUUGGCCAGGCUGGUCUCGAACUCCUGAACUCAAGUGAUCCACCCACCUUGGCCUCCCAAAGUACUGGGAUUACAGGCGUGAGCCACCGCGCCUGGCGAGAAGGGGCUGGAGGCUCCACUUCCCUGGAGGGCCAGAUCCCAGGAGGAACUGUGGGGUGGAAAAAAC